rnacentral:other from 1 species
AGUCCCCUGCGGUGUGCGUGAGGAUUCUUCAUCCUCCUGAGCCGAUACUUCUGAACCUGGGAUCUCUGCUCUGACCGUGGAGUGCAACUCCCCCGGGAGUUGCCAGAAACGGUUACCCGGAGAUCCAACUUGAUCGAUAGGGUUCGAGAGGUUGCAAUCCCACGGCAUUGGCGGGGGUCUA